CGUCACCUACGGGGGGCAGCAGUGGGGAAUAUUGCACAAUGGGGGAAACCCUGAUGCAGCGACGCCGCGUGAAGGAAGAAGUAUUUCGGUAUGUAAACUUCUAUCAGCAGGGAAGAAAAUGACGGUACCUGACUAAGAAGCCCCGGCUAACUACGUGCCAGCAGCCGCGGUCAUACGUAGGGGGCAAGCGUUAUCCGGAUUUACUGGGUGUAAAGGGAGCGUAGGCGGCGAUGCAAGUCAGAAGUGAAAGCCCGGGGCUCAACUCCGGGCCUGCUUUUGUAACUGGGUUG
rnacentral:rRNA from 1 species